rnacentral:lncRNA from 1 species
UGAGGUGAAGUCUGUGUUGUGUCAACACUAGAACAGUCUACUGGAGUAUCCUGGUUUCUUCCCAUUCGUUUCUGGGUUUGGGAAGUGACAGGUACGACUGUCCAGGCUCACGAGAAGUACAUCUCACAGGAAUGUCACCACGGAAACUAUCAGCAAAGCAGGACCGUGUCUCUGAAAAGUCUACCGUUGGACACUCUGGGACUGGCCUGAAAGCCGUGGUGUGAAAAGCAGUUCUCCUGAGAGCACCCUUCUCUCUCCUCUGGGGCGAUUCCUGUCCUCCUGUCCUCCAGGUACCAAUGCACCCCAGGAAUCAGAGUCUACAUCCUUGUUAUUAAUGGUAAGCUUUCAAUUUGCUAUGAACUUGCUCAAAAUAAGGCCUUACGAAUUUUCGGAUGCGCUCUCUCCCAGAAGGGCUCACCCAGUGCCCUGUAACAGCAUAAUGCAACCUGCCACUUCAUAGACGAGAGUCACCGGGUU